rnacentral:sRNA from 1 species
AUAUUCCUUUGGCAACUAGUUCCAUGUAAAGGCAUGUGAAGACAGAACUGGAGAAUGCCAGAUGAUAAAUUUCAGAUCGGUUUGCCAUGUUAGCAAACAAUAACCUGCAGAUUCUCAACAUCAAUAAGAGUGAUGAAGGUAUAUACAGAUGUGAAGGAAGGGUGGAGGCCAGAGGAGAGAUUGACUUCCGUGAUAUCAUUGUUAUCGUUAAUGUGCCACCAGCAAUCUCAAUGCCUCAGAAAUCUUUUAAUGCCACGGCAGAGAGAGGAGAAGAAAUGACGUUUUCCUGCAGGGCCUCAGGCUCUCCAGAACCCGCCAUCUCCUGGUUCAGGAAUGGCAAGCUCAUUGAAGAAAAUGAAAAGUACAUAUUGAAAGGGAGCAAUACAGAACUCACUGUCAGGAACAUAAUCAAUAGUGAUGGUGGUCCUUAUGUCUGCAGGGCCACAAAUAAGGCAGGAGAAGAUGAAAAGCAAGCUUUCCUCCAAGUCUUUGUACAGCCUCACAUAAUACAGCUUAAAAAUGAAACUACAUAUGAGAAUGGUCAAGUCACACUCGUAUGUGAUGCGGAAGGGGAGCCUAUUC